GACGAACGCUGGCGGCGUGCUUAACACAUGCAAGUCGAACGAAGUGGCGAACGGGUGAGUAACGCGUAAUCAACCUGCCCUUCAGAGGGGGACAACAGUUGGAAACGACUGCUAAUACCGCAUACUGAAGUUGGGGGUUGCGUCUGAUUAGCUAGUUGGAGGGGUAACGGGCCAACAAGGCGAUGAUCAGUAGCCGGUUGGAGAGGGUGAACGGCCACAUUGGGACUGGGGCACGGCCCAGAAUCCUACGGGAGGCAGCAGUGGGGAAUCUUCCGCAAUGGAGGAAAGUCUGAAGGAGCAAAGCCGCGGGGGUGAUGAAGGCCUUCGGGUUGGAAAGCUCUGUUGUUAAGGAAGCGGUACUUAACCAGAAAGGGACGGCUAACUACGUGCCAGCAGCCGCGGUAAUAC
rnacentral:rRNA from 1 species